AUGGCGCCACUAGAAAGCCAGCCAACCCUGAAAAAUGUACUGACCCUGAGGGAACUUGCACUCUGCCACCUCUUUCUCCAAGAGCGGCCCGGGACUGAGAAUGAGGGGAUGGGGCGAGUGGGUGGGGCCCUGCGCCUGUGCCUGGCUUCCAGAGUGACCCUAUUGUUGAUGAGGACCAGAGCCUAGGAGACAUCAGAGCCGGCCAGGAAUGACACAGGCGGUGUCGGGGUCACCGAUUCCAGGUGUCGGGGUCACCGAUUCCAGGGGUCGGGUGAGGGCUUCUGUCUGCUGAAAGCCCUCCUCCUGUGGGGAAAGCACGGCAGACUUCAGGCAAUGGUGGUUGGACAUUUGCCCUGCCCCUUAUUAUAUGGUCAUGUCCACCCCCCUCACUUCAGUGGGCCUCCGUUUCCUCACGGGGUUGUUAAAAUGCAUUAAUCAUUAAAAUUAUUGUUUGCCUGGCA
rnacentral:lncRNA from 1 species